rnacentral:rRNA from 1 species
GACGAACGCUGGCGGCGUGCUUAACACAUGCAAGUCGAACGGAAAGGCCCUGCUUGCAGGGUACUCGAGUGGCGAACGGGUGAGUAACACGUGGGUGAUCUGCCCUGCACUUCGGGAUAAGCCUGGGAAACUGGGUCUAAUACCGGAUAGGAGCCAUUUUUAGUGUGAUGGUUGGAAAGUUUUUUCGGUGUAGGAUGAGCUCGCGGCCUAUCAGCUUGUUGGUGGGGUAAUGGCCUACCAAGGCGGCGACGGGUAGCCGGCCUGAGAGGGUGGACGGCCACAUUGGGACUUAGAUACGGCCCAGACUCCUACGGGAGGCAGCAGUGGGGAAUAUUGCACAAUGGGCGCAAGCCUGAUGCAGCGACGCCGCGUGGGGGAUGACGGCCUUCGGGUUGUAAACUCCUUUCGCUAGGGACGAAGCUUUUUGUGACGGUACCUAGAUAAGAAGCACCGGCUAACUACGUG